rnacentral:rRNA from 1 species
UAUCUCUGUAGAGUCUGCAUAUCAAUAAGCGGAGGAAAAGAAACUAACAAGGAUUCCCUUAGUAACGGCGAGUGAAGCGGGAAGAGCUCAAAUUUGAAAUCUUCAAGGUUCUACCUUGACGAAUUGUAGUUUAUAGAAGUGUUUUCUGUUAGUGGAGUGGCAAAAGUUCUUUGGAAUAGGACAUCAUAGAGGGUGAGAAUCCCGUAUUUGGUCAUUCCUCCUAGCGUUGUGAUACACUUUCAACGAGUCGGAUUGUUUGGGAAUGCAGUCCAAAAUGGGUGGUAAUAUUUCAUCUAAAGCUAAAUAUUGGCGAGAGACCGAUAGCGAACAAGUACCGUGAGGGAAAGAUGAAAAGAACUUUGAAAAGAGAGUUAAACAGUACGUGAAAUUGUCAAAAGGGAAGCGUUUGACACCAGUGUUGUUUUUCCGAAAAUCAAUUACGAAUGUUUUGUUUUUAAGAAGUUAUGACUUCAUCGGCUUGCUUCUUUCUUUACGAAACUUUCUUAAUGCACUUUUCGGUUAACAAGUCAACAUCAAUUUCUUUUGUUGUAAAAAGGUAAGAGGAAGGUGGCUUGCGCUUCGGCUCAAGUGUUUAUAGCCUUUUACUUCUGCAAUCGGAGAGAUUGAGGUCUGCAGCGUAGAUCCUUCGGGGUUAGAUACAUUUGUGCUAAGCUAUAGCCUUGUAUAGACAACUUGUUGACUAUGCUCAGUCAUGUAGCUUACUCGCUUAUGCUAUUUUACCUACGCUUAGGAUGUUGAGUAGCGACAUACGCAC